UGCUGCUGCAGGGGACGGAACUGGAGCUUGGGCACGGCAUCUCCCGACAAGGAAGAGGAACAGGAAAAACCACAGACAGAGACCAAGCACAGGACGAGAUUGAGGCGUUGCCGCCGUCAUCUCUCCAAUCACUCCCCUUCCUCGGAGCCCUUCAACCAGAAGUAACAGAGUCUCCCGGAUUCCUGCGCCUCUCUCCUCCUGAGAAUCAGGAAGAUGAGGGAGAGAGAGAGCGAGUG
rnacentral:lncRNA from 1 species